UUUGCUGAUGGGUUUCUGAGCAUACUGUCGAAUCCUUUGAUUCCUUGACCAAAUUGAUUAUGCUGCUGUGAUGAUCUGUUGUAGUCAAUAUUGUUGUUGUGGGAAAGUAAGCAUGCCAAUUUCAACAAUUUGUAAUGAUCUUGCUGCUGUAAUGGGUUGUUAAUUUGUUGUUGGAUUGAUAGGAUUAGAUGAUUACAAUAUCUGAGCAUGUUGGUGAUUACAAUAUCUUGGACAUGGUUUUCUUUUGUUUGUUGUAAAAUAAAACAUAAGCAGAAAGCCAUGUUCAACAAACAUCAAUUUUCUAGGGUUAGGGUUUUCGUUUCAUUCUCAGAUGAUUUGAUGGGCAACACGAUUUGUUCAGGAUGACUCUGCAUAUAUAUAUUUGAUUAAUUGAGGGUCGAGAUUAUAAAUGAGAACUCUCAGAUGAGUUUUUGAAGUUCUCUGUUUUUUACUUUACAGGAAAAAAUGGAAAAUUGUUAUUGAUUAUAUUAGUAUAAUUUGUUUAGGCACAGUCUUUCUAGGAUUUUAUUGCUUGCAUAGUUUAUUUUCUAUGUUUUUCUUUUUGAUUCAUUGCAACUGAGGUAUUCGAGCUAUCUCAGCCUUUGAUUGUUGCUUUUGAUAUGUGUGAAUGAUGUGAAAAUUCAUAAAAGCAAUUGUAUUAAUUCAUUAAUCAAUUAUAAUGAAUGAUGUUAAAAAAGCCAAGUAGUAAGUCUUGACCAAAAGUUGAUAUGUUAAAGCUAAUGAACUAAUCAACCAAAAACUGACGCAUAAAAGAGUGCUCAGGGACCAAUGUUGCUUUUCAUAUUUGAUUUUCAAGUCUAUUGGUGCUCUGGGACCAAUCCUGCUUCUGAUAUUUUAUUUUCAACUGAUUUGCUUAGAAAAAAUAGAAAACAAGUUUGAUUUUUUGCAAUCUCUGUUCAUAAAUGAGUAAUUGUUGAUGACGUUUCUUUUCUUUUUUCUUUCUUUUGGCCUUUUUGGGUUGUUUCUGUGUUUUGUCUGUUUGGUUGCGGAUGCCUUAUCCACCUUUUCAAUAUAUCGUUUCUCUUUAGAAAAGAAAAUCAAUAUUCAAGACAUCUUUGCUCCAAAAUAAUGUAUGCAUGCAUUAAUUUUGGUAAACUAAAUUGAGUUUAUGCUUAUGGGAUUAAAUAUUUUUCCAUAUUUUUGUUGCACUAUUUCUUUUCUUAUUCUUAUAUGCAGGGAUGAUAAUUUGUUUUCUUUUCUUUUCAGUUUCAAACAGAUUUACAGUUCUUUUCUCUUGCUUAAAUUUGUGAAAUAUAUGUAUAUGGAGAGCCCAUAUUAAGAAAUAGCGGUUAUGCAUUAUGUGGCCUUUUUAUUGGGUUUAACGAUGGAGUACAAUGUGUUCAUUUGAUGUUUUUAGCUGAGAUUGUGAUCAAUUUCAUUUUGUGGAUUUUCAGGUUUUGCAAGAUGAUAGUAGUGUAUGAGAGCGUCAAGAGGAGGCUGUGGGUAGAAGGCGGUUCUUUGCAGGCUAGACAAGCAAAAAUUCCCUCUUUGGACUUGCUCCACUUGAAGCAGUGCUAUUUAAUAUUGAUAGAACUCCAUAUGAUUUAGAUCCCAUUCAUUUCAAUGCCUUCCACAAAAUGCUUCCAUAGUUUGUGCAAGAUGUUAACAGUGUACAAGAGAAUCCAGAAGAGGCUAUGAGUAGAAGGAGGUUCUUUGCAAAAACCACUUCUACAGUAGAGCCAACAAGAGAUAGAUCCCUUUUCAACAGACAUCAAGGCAGAAAAAUCCCCUUCCCCCACCAGUAGCAUAUAUGUAUAGACAUGUCCAAACUCUCUUGAACAAAGAGCAGCUCAACUGUUGAUAUUUUGAUUGUUGCUUGGUUUAAUAAAAUAUGAUCAAUAUUUUAAGAUAACAAGCAACAUAUAAAACAUGUUAUUAGUUUUUA